GCUGGAAUAGCUCAGACCGGUAGAGCAACUGAUUCGUAAUCAGUAGGUCGGAGGUUCGAUUCCUCUUUCCAGCACCA
rnacentral:tRNA from 1 species